rnacentral:lncRNA from 1 species
UAUAAUACUUGCCAUUAUUGAUUUUAGAUACAAAUCAGAGGGACUGCCAUCUAUACUUAUCAAGACAGUUGUGGACUUUCUUUGAAGCUAGGAGAUGGCCCAGGUGCAUGUUUUGUAGCAGGUGGCUGAGAUCACUGGAACUGUGACAGAGCAUACAAAUUAUUACAAGGUUGCUUGACAUGGGCCUCAGGAAUGCCUUGUGGAACUUCAGCACUCAGCUCUUCCUCUGUCAUCACAGCCUUGCAGAGAGGGGUGGAUGGCUGCAUCUGGGAGUCCAUCUGAAUGAACAACUGCAGUGUCAGCACAGAUUUCUGCUACUUGAAUUAAUGGAGUGCCACUGCCAGUCACAGGUUGUCAUCCUCUGAGUAAAGCUCUCCUAGAAGGGGAUUGCUGAUGGGCACUGGUGAGAAACAUGAACUGAGGAUUUGCUUCUUGGCUGGGAUGGCAAUUGGAUGGAUGUACAUUCCAGACAUAAGGUAACCUACAGUGUCUCCUCCAGCCUCUUGCCAUCCUUUUCCUUUUUCUUUCCCCAUUUCAUCCCAGACCUCUUUUUCUCCUACAGGAAGCCACAGUGGAUCCCAGCUCCUGAUCUCCCAAUCUGAUUAGCUCUUUGCUCAUUCCCCAGUAUGACAUUCUUUGCUUCCAAUCUAUUUGGCUGGACUGCCCUUACUCCCCAAUUCCUUCUUAUGAUCCCAUUUCUCAUCUAGAAUAGGUUUGGUAUCCAGUAUCUCUGUCUGAAAAACUCUUCACAGUGCAUUUGAAUAACUCUGUUCUCUUUAUUUGAUCAUCUGUGUUGCUGGGACCCAAGGAAGGCAGACCCCUGUUUUUGUUUUGUUAACUAAACUCUUAUAGCUCAUGUCCAUCCAUAGCAAUGGGACCUCCUAGGAAAGUGUUCUGUUGAAAUCAAAGUCAUCUUUAUUAAACAUGCACCAUGACUUUUCAUAUACCUGUCACUGACACAAAAGCUGUCUUCUAUCAGCUUUCAAGUCCUUACACCAAACUUGCAAGAUGUAAGUUUUGUCACAGAAGACACCAGAAUUUUUAACCACAGCACAUUUUCCCCUACAGCCUGUCAGACACAUCAGAGAUGUCUGAGUUGUUUUACACUAGCUCCCCUUGAGAAUGUGUGUCAAGUAAAAAGUCCUGAGUGAUACCAUUUCAUAUUGUUUAGACAGGACAAUAGUAUAAAUGCAUUUAAUCUUAUAAAAAGCAUUCUAAUAUCUUUAGUGACCACUAUGCAGACUUUUAUUCCUUAGAGAAGAUAAGGAAUGUCCUUGCAAACAAGAAAAAUUAGAUCAUGUUGUGCCAAGGCCUAUGCUCUAAGUAGUUCAAGGUGAC